GUGCAAUUCUACUUGGAGAUCUUCAUAACACCUUAAGGGAAAAAUCCUUUUUGAAAGAAAAACAAGUCUGGGUGGUGCUUGAAAAUUCAGAAGGCAGCUAGAAACUCUGCCAAUUACAACUGGUGAUUGCUGAGUUCUGGAGACAGACUGGGCUUCUGCUUUCUUUUGGUGGAGGUGUCUGCUUGCAGAAAAUUUAUGUUCUGGGAUUUACAACUUCAGGGAGACAAAGGAAACUCCAGCUCAUCUCCCACAUCAUUGAUUGAGAGGACCAUUUUCUGACUGUCUGCACACGGAUGGGCAUUUGAAUUAUUUCCAGUUUUUGGCUAUUAUGAAAAAAACUGCUAUGAACAUUCAUACACAAGUGUGUGUGUGGACCCAUGUUUUCACUGAUCAAGGCCUAAAUACCUACGUGGUGCUUCGUGAACCCUGGAUGCUACAGUCUCUGGCCACAGCACUAAAUGUAUGCUGAGAUCUGGCUUCACGGUCGAGGGUGUUGCUGGUUUUCAAUGUGCCUGACAUAGGAUCAAUGGUGAAUGCACCAGAAGCCUCAUCAGUCAGAAAAUACUCAGUUUGCCCAUUCAGGCCUUCAUCCUUGUCCACAGCUGAAAGCACAAGAACCACUGUUCCCACUUCAGCAUCUUCUCUCACAGAGGACUGGUAAUAAAGUGUGGGAAAAGAAGGACUGUGGUCAUUGGCAUCCAAAACUCUAACUUGCAGGUGUAUUACAGAGCUCCUAGGUGGAUCUCCCAGGUCAGAGCACAGAAUGACAAGGGUAAAAUUGCUGAUUUGCUCCCGGUCCAAAGCACGAGUGGUUGAGAGUUCUCCUGACAUCUCAUUUAUAGUAAAGCACUCAUCAGUAUUUCCAUCUAUUAAAGAAAACAAUUACAAAUUCAUUUGAAUUGAAAAAGUAGCAGCUCUUUGCUAGCACUAUCUAUGGUAUUCAUUUAUACAUUCAUUAAAAAUAUAUUUAUUCCCGA
rnacentral:lncRNA from 1 species